UAUUCCAAACUACAAUAUAGGAUAUACUUCUCAGUUUUUUUCCAAAUAUACUAUUUAAACUUUAAAUUUAACCCUCAAGCCCUAUAUCAUAAGUGCAUACACUUUAAAUCUUAUAUCAUACACAUUAGCUCUUAAAAUACCAAUCAAGUAAAUUAAACAAUAAAUCAUAAAAUUAAAACACAGCCAUUAGUUAGGAAAUCCAAUAAUUUCUCUAAACUAAUAAUUUAACUGAAGCUAAAUUAAUGAAUUAUAUAAUGAAAACUAAAUUCAAAAGGUAAGAUGUAAAAGAAGAAUGUUAAAAAAAAAGAUGCAAAAGAAGAAGAAGCGUGUUGAACAAAAACAAAACAAAAAGAAAGAAGAAGCGCAAGUCAUUAAAAAUAAACUAAAUUCUGAUUGGUUGAAAAACAAAACCAUGGAUCACUCUCAAAUCAAUAUCAACCAUUGAUUUUAGAUGAUCUAAGGACCACAACUGAUUUACUUUUCUUCUGUCUCUUUCGUUUCUUUUCUCUCCUUUAAGAAACACACUUCUCUCUCAUCUUCUCCUCAAUUACAAGAACAACAACAACAAAAUCUAAACAUCUUUCCCUCUUUCUCAUUUAUCUCCUUCAACUUUGUCUCGGUCUCAAUCGGCAGAUUUUUCAAGCCAGCACAAUCCAUUGCUUAUCAAUCUCUGAAAAUUUAAACUUGGAAGGAGGAAGAUGUUGACGAAUUCCAUGGCUUGAGGAAGACGACGAUAAGGACGGCGAAGCUGAUGGUUGGAGGAAGACGACGAUAACGAAGCUCGCGGCUGGAGAAAGAAGACGAGGACAAAACUCAUGGCUGUAGGGAUUCAUAAGAAAAUGAGCUCCGAUGAAGAGCAGUGACGAAAAUCAUAAGCAGAGGAGGAGCCGUGGGGUGGCUCGCCGAAGAAGAAGUUCCGGUAGCAACUGCAUAAUAUAUAUUUGUAUAUU